GAUGAAGAACGCAGCGAAAUGCGAUAAGUAGUGUGAAUUGCAGAAUUCAGUGAAUCAUCGAAUCUUUGAACGCACAUUGCGCCCCUUGGUAUUCCAUGGGGCAUGCCUGUUCGAGCGUCAUUUGUACCUUCAAGCUCUGCUUAGUGUUGGGUGUUUGUCUCGCCUCUGCGUGUAGACUCGCCUCAAAACAAUUGGCAGCCGGCGUAUUGAUUUCGGAGCGCAGUACAUCUCGCGCUUUGCACUCAUAACGACGACGUCCAAAAGUACAUUUUUACACUCUUGACCUCGGAUCAGGUAGGGAUACCCGCUGAACUUAAGCAUAUCAAUAAGCGGAGGA
rnacentral:misc_RNA from 1 species